rnacentral:rRNA from 1 species
UACGUAGGCAGCGAGCGUUGUUCGGAGUUACUGGGCGUAAAGAGCGCGUAGGCGGUCCGAUAAGUCGGCUGUGAAAGUCAGGGGCUCAACCCUUGAAAGCCGGCCGAUACUGUCGGACUAGAGUCCGGAAGAGGCAAGUGGAAUUCCCGGUGUAGCGGUGAAAUGCGCAGAUAUCAGGAGGAACACCGGUGGCGAAGGCGGGCUCUGGGCGAUACUGACGCUGAGGAGCGAAAGCGUGGGGAGCGAACAGG